CAGAAUAUAGCUUAUUAAGCACUUUGCUUACACCAAGGAGAUGCCUGCUAACAUCAGACUAUUCUGAAG
rnacentral:tRNA from 1 species